CUGCACAUUAUAGAUAAAAUGUCUCAUAGUUACAUUAAUGGACUCGGGACAUCUUCAAUGUCCUCACAAAAGAAAUCAAGGUCAAAUGAUGUGAGAUCCUCUCAUUUAAGAUAGCUUUUGCUUGCUCUAAGAGGAAGCCCAAAGCUUGAAACAAUCGCCGCCACUACUUAUGAGUUCCAACAGACAAAGGAGAGAUUGAUUAAGCUAGCACUCAACUUGAGUUUCAGCUUAUGCGGUAUACCUCCUUUAAAUUGAUCCCAACGGCUUACCUGAAGCUUAAAGCCAUUAUCUCUAAUGCUACCUCCAGUCAUUAAUUGAUGGACUACUUCUCUGGAAGGACAGGCCACAGAAAUGUGUUAGGCUUAGCAAGUCUUCUUAUUGUCCAGGUGCCAGUACUGUUGGCCUUUCGAACUAGUGCAUCCUGCACAUCAUCUUCUUCAAUCAGUCUUCCAUAAGCUUUGACAUAGGCCGCUCGCUCCUAGUAGAACUGUCUCCUCCAUGUCUGAAGAGAUAGUAAUGAAGGCUUGUGAGUCUCAAAGGCCAAGUGUUGAUGAUGAUGCCGGAGGAGUGUUCAAGUUGCCAUUGUUUUUGCUUAGGCUCUC
rnacentral:lncRNA from 1 species